rnacentral:rRNA from 1 species
GGAUCCCAUCAGAACUUCGAAGUUAAGCGUGCUUGGGCGAGAGUAGUACUAGGAUGGGUGACCUCCUGGGAAGUCCUCGUGUUGCAUUCCCUUUUUUUAAUUUUUUUUGCGACUCGUGACAGACAUGACGCACGUACGCGAUAUAUAUUAACACGUUAUUUAAUUUUUGACGUUCGCGAUACGUUUAAGCUCGCUGCUGAAUACUCACGCGCCUAGGGGCGGCGUUAAAAGCGCGCUGUCAAAUGGUGGAAAAUACGCGUUGCCGCGGUAUAGAGGGAAGGGUGGAAUCCGUGGCAAACUCGUCUCCGUAGUAGAGCGGGAGCGUAAGUAGUGUAGGGCAUCAUCCAUCGUAAGGGAACGGUCGUAAUGGUAGUAAGAAUGUGCAAUCGUGUUUGUUGUGGACCUGGGAGUGGAAAGCAUAAGGGACGAAGACGGGGGUAACAAGUCGGAUGCGAUCAUACCAGCACUAAAGCACC